rnacentral:rRNA from 1 species
UACGUAGGGGGCAAGCGUUGUCCGGAAUUACUGGGCGUAAAGCGUGCGCAGGCGGUUGUGCAAGACAGAUGUGAAAUCCCCGGGCUCAACCCGGGAAGUGCAUUGGAAACUGGCGAACUUGAGUACGGGAGAGGGCAGUGGAAUUCCUAGUGUAGGAGUGAAAUCCGUAGAUAUUAGGAGGAACACCGGUGGCGAAGGCGGCUGCCUGGACCGAUACUGACGCUGAGACGCGAAAGCGUGGGGAGCAAACAGG